rnacentral:rRNA from 1 species
AAGGCCCAGACAGCCAGGAUGUUGGCUUAGAAGCAGCCAUCAUUUAAAGAAAGCGUAAUAGCUCACUGGUCGAGUCGGCCUGCGCGGAAGAUGUAACGGGGCUAAACCAUGCACCGAAGCUGCGGCAGCGACGCUUAUGCGUUGUUGGGUAGGGGAGCGUUCUGUAAGCCUGCGAAGGUGUACUGUGAGGUAUGCUGGAGGUAUCAGAAGUGCGAAUGCUGACAUAAGUAACGAUAAAGCGGGUGAAAAGCCCGCUCGCCGGAAGACCAAGGGUUCCUGUCCAACGUUAAUCGGGGCAGGGUGAGUCGACCCCUAAGGCGAGGCCGAAAGGCGUAGUCGAUGGGAAACAGGUUAAUAUUCCUGUACUUGGUGUUACUGCGAAGGGGGGACGGAGAAGGCUAUGUUGGCCGGGCGACGGUUGUCCCGGUUUAAGCGUGUAGGCUGGUUUUCCAGGCAAAUCCGGAAAAUCAAGGCUGAGGCGUGAUGACGAGGCACUACGGUGCUGAAGCAACAAAUGCCCUGCUUCCAGGAAAAGCCUCUAAGCAUCAGGUAACAUCAAAUCGUACCCCAAACCGACACAGGUGGUCAGGUAGAGAAUACCAAGGCGCUUGAGAGAACUCGGGUGAAGGAACUAGGCAAAAUGGUGCCGUAACUUCGGGAGAAGGCACGCUGAUAUGUAGGUGAAGUCCCUCGCGGAUGGAGCUGAAAUCAGUCGAAGAUACCAGCUGGCUGCAACUGUUUAUUAAAAACACAGCACUGUGCAAACACGAAAGUGGACGUAUACGGUGUGACGCCUGCCCGGUGCCGGAAGGUUAAUUGAUGGGGUUAGCGCAAGCGAAGCUCUUGAUCGAAGCCCCGGUAAACGGCGGCCGUAACUAUAACGGUCCUAAGGUAGCGAAAUUCCUUGUCGGGUAAGUUCCGACCUGCACGAAUGGCGUAAUGAUGGCCAGGCUGUCUCCACCCGAGACUCAGUGAAAUUGAACUCGCUGUGAAGAUGCAGUGUACCCGCGGCAAGACGGAAAGACCCCGUGAACCUUUACUAUAGCUUGACACUGAACAUUGAGCCUUGAUGUGUAGGAUAGGUGGGAGGCUUAGAAGUGUGGACGCCAGUCUGCAUGGAGCCGACCUUGAAAUACCACCCUUUAAUGUUUGAUGUUCUAACGUUGACCCGUAAUCCGGGUUGCGGACAGUGUCUGGUGGGUAGUUUGACUGGGGCGGUCUCCUCCUAAAGAGUAACGGAGGAGCACGAAGGUUGGCUAAUCCUGGUCGGACAUCAGGAGGUUAGUGCAAUGGCAUAAGCCAGCUUGACUGCGAGCGUGACGGCGCGAGCAGGUGCGAAAGCAGGUCAUAGUGAUCCGGUGGUUCUGAAUGGAAGGGCCAUCGCUCAACGGAUAAAAGGUACUCCGGGGAUAACAGGCUGAUACCGCCCAAGAGUUCAUAUCGACGGCGGUGUUUGGCACCUCGAUGUCGGCUCAUCACAUCCUGGGGCUGAAGUAGGUCCCAAGGGUAUGGCUGUUCGCCAUUUAAAGUGGUACGCGAGCUGGGUUUAGAACGUCGUGAGACAGUUCGGUCCCUAUCUGCCGUGGGCGCUGGAGAACUGAGGGGGGCUGCUCCUAGUACGAGAGGACCGGAGUGGACGCAUCACUGGUGUUCGGGUUGUCAUGCCAAUGGCACUGCCCGGUAGCUAAAUGCGGAAGAGAUAAGUGCUGAAAGCAUCUAAGCACGAAACUUGCCCCGAGAUGAGUUCUCCCUGACUCCUUGAGAGUCCUGAAGGAACGUUGAAGACGACGACGUUGAUAGGCCGGGUGUGUAAGCGCAGCGAUGCGUUGAGCUAACCGGUACUAAUGAACCGUGAG